AGGUGCGAUCAUACCAGCACUAAUGCACCGGAUCCCAUCAGAACUCCACAAUUAAGCGUGCUUUGGCGAGAGUAGUAUUAGGAUGGGUGACCUCCUGGGAAGUCCUCGUGUUGCACCUC
rnacentral:rRNA from 2 species